CCUGACGGUAGUCGUAUGCUCGUCUCCGAGACUAAGCCAUGCAAGUCCAAGUACACGUCCUUGAACGACGGAAACUGCGAACGGCUCAUUAAAUCAGUUGCGAUCUACUCGGCGUUCCGCGCCGCCCGGAUAACCGUAGUAAUUCUAGGGCUAAUACGUGCGAAGCGCCCCGAAGCCGCGAGGCGACGGGCGUUCUCGCCGGAUGUAGGAACCGACCCCGGGGACCGCCGGGGGCAACCCCGGGCGCCCCCCGAGACGGGGGCGAACCACGGUGAAAUGACGGAUCGUCGGCCCCGCGCCGGCGACUCGCCGAAUGAGUUUCUGACCUAUCAACUCGAGACGGCGGGGUAGAGGCCCGCCGCGGUAACGACGGGUAACGGGGAAUCAGGGUUCGAUUCCGGAGAGGGGAGCCCGAGAACGGCUACCACUUCCAAGGAAGGCAGCAGGCGCGCAACUUACCCUAAUCUCGAUUCGAGGAGGUAGUGACAAGAAAUACCGAUGCGGGACCC
rnacentral:rRNA from 1 species